rnacentral:rRNA from 1 species
UACGGGCAGACUAGAGUGCAGUAGGGGAGACUGGAAUUCCUGGUGUAGCGGUGGAAUGCGCAGAUAUCAGGAGGAACACCGAUGGCGAAGGCAGGUCUCUGGGCUGUAACUGACGCUGAGGAGCGAAAGCAUGGGGAGCGAACAGGAUUAGAUACCCUGGUAGUCCAUGCCGUAAACGUUGGGCACUAGGUGUGGGGACCAUUCCACGGUUUCCGCGCCGCAGCUAACGCAUUAAGUGCCCCGCCUGGGGAGUACGGCCGCAAGGCUAAAACUCAAAGGAAUUGACGGGGGCCCGCACAAGCGGCGGAGCAUGCGGAUUAAUUCGAUGCAACGCGAAGAACCUUACCAAGGCUUGACAUGUU